rnacentral:rRNA from 1 species
ACGAACGCUGGCGGCGUGCUUAACACAUGCAAGUCGAACGGAAAGGCCCUGCUUUUGUGGGGUGCUCGAGUGCCGAACGGGUGAGUAACACGUGAGUAACCUGCCCUUGACUUUGGGAUAACUUCAGGAAACUGGGGCUAAUACCGGAUAGGAGCUCCUGCUGCAUGGUGGGGGUUGGAAAGUUUCGGCGGUUGGGGAUGGACUCGCGGCUUAUCAGCUUGUUGGUGGGGUAGUGGCUUACCAAGGCUUUGACGGGUAGCCGGCCUGAGAGGGUGACCGGCCACAUUGGGACUGAGAUACGGCCCAGACUCCUACGGGAGGCAGCAGUGGGGAAUAUUGCACAAUGGGCGGAAGCCUGAUGCAGCAACGCCGCGUGCGGGAUGACGGCCUUCGGGUUGUAAACCGCUUUCGCCUGUGACGAAGCGUGAGUGACGGUAAUGGGUAAAGAAGCACCGGCUAACUACGUG